rnacentral:rRNA from 1 species
UUUGGAGGGCAAGUCUGGUGCCAGCAGCCGCGGUAAUUCCAGCUCCAAUAGCGUAUAUUAAAGUUGUUGCAGUUAAAAAGCUCGUAGUUGAAUUUCGGGGUCAGUAGGUUGGUCAUGCCACUGGUAUGUACUGGUCUCACUGAUUCCUCCUUCCUGAUGAGCCGUAAUGCCAUUAAUUUGGUGUUGCGAGGAAUCUGGACUGUUACUUUGAAAAAAUUAGAGUGUUUAAAGCAAGCUAACGCUUGAAUACAUUAGCAUGGAAUAAUGAAAUAGGACGUUCGAUCCUAUUUUGUUGGUUUCUAGGAUUGACGUAAUGAUUAAUAGGGAUAGUUGGGGGCAUUAGUAUUCAAUUGUCAGAGGUGAAAUUCUUGGAUUUAUUGAAGACUAACUACUGCGAAAGCAUUUGCCAAGGAUGUUUUCAUUAAUCAAGAACGAAAGUUAGGGGAUCGAAGACGAUCAGAUACCGUCGUAGUCUUAACCAUAAACUAUGCCGACUAGGGAUCGGAUGAUGUUAAUUUUUUAAUGACUCAUUCGGCGCCUUACGGGAAACCAAAGUGUUUGGGUUC